rnacentral:rRNA from 1 species
UACGGGGGGAGCAAGCGUUGUUCGGAUUUACUGGGCGUAAAGCGUGCGUAGGCGGUUUAGUGUGUGGGAAUUGAAAGCCCGGGGCUCAACUCCGGAUCCGGUUCCCAAACUGCUAGACUCGAGAGUAUCAGAGGAGAGCGGAAUUCCCGGUGUAGCGGUGAAAUGCGCAGAUAUCAGGAGGAACACCGAUGGCGAAGGCAGGUCUCUGGGCCGAUACUGACGCUGAGGAGCGAAAGCGUGGGGAGCGAACAGG